UUCCCCUCGGGAUGGCACCUGGAGAGUUUCCAGUACUCUACCGGUCUCGACUAUGGGACGGAAAGUCAGGCAGAGGCAUAUCCCUUCCAUUCCUAGCUUGGGCAGUGGCUAGCGAGUGGAAGGCAAUCUGCAACAAGU